UACGGAGGAUCCGAGCGUUAUCCGGAUUUAUUGGGUUUAAAGGGUGCGUAGGCGGACGCUUAAGUCAGCGGUAAAAUUGCGGGGCUCAACCUCGUCGAGCCGUUGAAACUGGGUGCCUUGAGUGGGCGAGAAGUACGCGGAAUGCGUGGUGUAGCGGUGAAAUGCAUAGAUAUCACGCAGAACUCCGAUUGCGAAGGCAGCGUACCGGCGCCCAACUGACGCUGAAGCACGAGGGCGUGGGUAUCGAACAGG
rnacentral:rRNA from 1 species